rnacentral:lncRNA from 1 species
UUUCACGGGGGUAAAUGUGAUCUGAGCAAGUUAAAGCUGCUUCCAAGGGUGUCUAACUGAUAUAAUUGGAUUGUUGCUUAGCUGAGACACUGAAAGAAGCAGACUCAAAAUGUUGUUUACUGCUGGUCACAAAAUUUGCCAGGAAAUGGGCAGUUUCUAGGACUCCUGUGAAUAGUCACUUGCCCGUCCAUUCACAGUGUGUGUCCACUAUGUGUUUAUAAAGAAAAGCAGCUGUGAACCCAGACACCUAUGAAUGCCCUCCAUUUACUACAAUGGUACCAAGAGGGAAGGAGACCAAAGGCGAACACACAUGGCAGGAUUGUUUGGAGGCAGAGUCAAGAUGGUGGCAUAAAAGCAGAAAAUGUUCAGAUCUCUGAAAACACUUCCUUACCAAUUACAAACUAA